AAACAAUCCAGGACAGAACUUGAUUAAGAAGCUGAAUUUGAAUAUUCAAGAAGCUGACCAGAUGAAUUUUGUGGCACUCAUGGUGGGGCACAGGAACACUGAUGCUGCAGAGCAAAACUGGACAAUGUUGGGAUGACCUGAAAGUUUUUUC